rnacentral:lncRNA from 1 species
CCCAAAUGACGAUCGAAUGCAGCCCAUCGUUCCCCCUCCUCUCUCUCUCGCUCUCUUCCAUUUCUCUCACCCUCAAUCCCUUUCCCUCUCUCUCUUGCUCAUUCCUCUCUUCUUUAUCACUGUCUCGUAUCCUUUUUCUUUCUAUCGUGUCCAAAUCUCUCUCUUCCUCCCACGAGUGCUUCAGACCACCGUGCUCCUCUUUCUUUCUUCCCCUUAGGCCUAUGGUAAGUCUUUCUUUUCCACUUCUUCUCAUGAUUUCUUAUAUUACCUUCGUGAAGGGGGGAUUAGGGCUUCAUUCCAUUGGUUAGAACAUUUAUUGUGCUCUUCUCUCCCUUUCCCC